rnacentral:rRNA from 1 species
AUGGCAGCGCUAAGGUUUGCUACGAGGAAGAUGUGCGGUCGCGCCUUUGAGCGAACACCGGCGUUUUUUACGACGGCCGUCAAGGAGGAACAGAGGCGGGUGCUGCCAAGGUUUAGCCAUGGCGGGGGCUCACUUCGCCGGUUCACCUCCAGAUCCGGCCCCCCAAGCGAGCCCCCAAAAGAGCCCUUGCCGCAUGAUUCCACAGAGUUGAUCCGUAAUCUACACCCUGACACGCUAGUGAGGGUCCCUGUGUCAUUAGAUACAUGGUCACUCAACAACCCCUGGUUCUUAUCCAAUCUUGUUUUCUGUAUCGACUUUGUGCAAGUAUUCAUGCUCGUGUAUUGGAGGCACGGCAGGGCGACUUCUGAAUAUGGAGACCCCCUUUUCCCAUUCGUCCUUGUUUGUUUCAUCUUUGAUCCGAUUCGAAUCACCUAG